AUUGAACGCUGGCGGAAUGCUUUACACAUGCAAGUCGAACGGCAGCACGGACUUCGGUCUGGUGGCGAGUGGCGAACGGGUGAGUAAUGUAUCGGAACGUGCCCAGUCGUGGGGGAUAACGUAGUGAAAAUUACGCUAAUACCGCAUACGAUCUAUGGAUGAAAGCGGGGGAUCGCAAGACCUCGCGCGAUUGGAGCGGCCGAUAUCAGAUUAGGUAGUUGGUGGGGUAAAGGCCCACCAAGCCAACGAUCUGUAGCUGGUCUGGGAGGACGACCAGCAACACUGGAAAUGAGACACGGUCCAAACUCCUACGGGAGGCAGCAGUGGGGAAUUUUGGACAAUGGGCGAAAGCCUGAUCCAGCCAUUCCGCGUGCAGGAUGAAGGCCCUCGGGUUGUAAACUGCUUUUGUACAGAACGAAAAGGUUUCUACUAAUACUAGGAGCUCAUGACGGUACUGUAAGAAUAAGCACCGGCUAACUACGUGCCAGCCGCCGCGGUAA
rnacentral:rRNA from 1 species